AACGAACGCUGGCGGCAUGCCUAACACAUGCAAGUCGAACGAGACCUUCGGGUCUAGUGGCGCACGGGUGCGUAACGCGUGGGAACCUGCCUUUAGGUUCGGAAUAACUCAGAGAAAUUUGAGCUAAUACCGGAUGAUGUCUUCGGACCAAAGAUUUAUCGCCUUUAGAUGGGCCCGCGUUGGAUUAGCUAGUUGGUGGGGUAAAGGCCUACCAAGGCGACGAUCCAUAGCUGGUCUGAGAGGAUGAUCAGCCACACUGGGACUGAGACACGGCCCAGACUCCAACGGGAGGCGGCAGAGGGGAAUAUGGGACAAUGGGCGAAAGCCUGAUCCACCAAUGCCGCGUGAGUGAUGAAGGCCUUAGGGUUGUAAAGCUCUUUUACCCGAGAUGAUAAUGACAGUAUCGGGAGAAUAAGCUCCGGCUAACUCCGU
rnacentral:rRNA from 1 species